AGAGUUAUGAUGAGAAGCCAACAUAUAAGAAGGCUUAUCUUAUAGUGAUAUUCAAUGCAAUAUAUUUUGUUACGCUUGGCUUGUCAGCUUU